GACGAACGCUGGCGGCGUGCUUAACACAUGCAAGUCGAACGGUAAGGCCCUUUCGGGGGUACACGAGUGGCGCACGGGUGGGUAACACGUGGGUGAUCUGCCCUGCACUUUGGGAUAAGCCUGGGAAACUGGGUCUAAUACCGGAUAGGACUACGCGAUGCAUGUCGUGUGGUGGAAAGCUUUUGCGGUGUGGGAUGGGCCCGCGGCCUAUCAGCUUGUUGGUGGGGUGAUGGCCUACCAAGGCGACGACGGGUAGCCGGCCUGAGAGGGUGUCCGGCCACACUGGGACUGAGAUACGGCCCAGACUCCUACGGGAGGCAGCAGUGGGGAAUAUUGCACAAUGGGCGCAAGCCUGAUGCAGCGACGCCGCGUGGGGGAUGACGGCCUUCGGGUUGUAAACCCCUUUCAGCACAGACGAAGCGUAAGUGACGGUAUGUGCAGAAGAAGCACCGGCCAACUACGUG
rnacentral:rRNA from 1 species